rnacentral:rRNA from 1 species
CGCGUAGGCGGUUUUUUAGGUCAGAUGUGUAAUCCCCGAGCUUAACUUGGGAACUGCAUCUGAGACUGGAAGGCUAGAGUACUGGAGAGGGUGGUGGAAUUCCUCGUGUAGCGGUGAAAUGCGUAGAGAUGAGGAGGAACACCAGUGGCGAAGGCGGCCACCUGGACAGUAACUGACGCUGAGGCGCGAAAGUGUGGGUAGCAAACAGGAUUAGAUACCCUGGUAGUCCACGCUGUAAACGAUGAACACUUGGUGUGGAGGGAGUUGACCCCUUCCGUGCCGGAGCUAACGCGUUAAGUGUUCCGCCUGGGGAGUACGGUCGCAAGGCUGAA